CAAGAUGAAUUAGACGACAAACAUUUACAAGUGACGGUCUGUAUUCCAGGCUUUAGGCUAGCUCUUAACCCCAAACCUCUACUACAGUAUGAAAGGCAGUUCAGGUCUUGUGUGUCAAAAUGAACACAUCAAAUAACACUAUUUGUCCAUGGUCUCCUAAAGGGAGAAUCUCGAAUCCCUGGCCCAAAUACCUGAAGGAUUCCUGGGGUGAACGACUGGGCUGAUGGCCUGGAACUAUCCGGUCCUGGGAGAAAAGAAAGACUGAGUCUAUGAGACGAGCUGUGGACGAGCUGUGAACGAGCUGUGGACGAGCUGUGGACGAGCUGUGGACAGGAGCGAUAUGCUUUUGGAAUGAGCUCACCUGCCAUCACCAGAGAGUGAUCUGAGCAUCUGAGUCAGUGAUACUGGAAAGAUUUUUUAGGACUAUAAUGUCCUCCUCAUAUGUGUGUCUCCACAGACCGAGGCCUGAGCUAUUGAUUGAUUCAAGACAAGGUUGUUUUUAUUGAACUUCGAUUCUCAGUUUGUCAGUGUCAAAGUAGCCUGUCAUUUCCAUCAUUUGUGCUGAAAAAAAGAUUUUGCUCAGCCUCCAGUCAUGUAAAAGGGGUGGGUAUAAUUUGUGGAACGUUCCAACAGGAAUCUAUUCCCAAACCGUUGUUAAUAACAAGGAUGCCAACAAACAAUGAAUACAAAGUAGCAUGAUCAACUCACCACGUAGCUUAUUCUGAAUGUUUGUCCAUAGGCUACCAGAGUGAGGACAGACAUUUUUCGGAAUACACCUGGUGAGUGGAAAAACAUCAAAUUGCCCACUCCCUACCCGGUAUCCUGUUCUGCCGCUAUACAACUGUGUAUGCGUUGUUUGUUGGCAUCCUUGUUAUUUACAAAGUUUUUGGAACAGAUUCCUGUUGGAACGUUCCCCAAAUUAUACCCACCCAUGUAAAAGGACAUAUAAUUGCAUCAAAUGUGGUAAUAAGAAGGCCCAUUUUCUCCCGGACCCGAUGCUAAUAAAAUUGUUCCCUAUGUGUGCAAAUUCUGUAUGCGCCGCUACUGUACUGCUCUAUGCCACUAUGCAAAUGCACUGAUAUGCAUGCAAUGCUUUAUUAUAAAGGGGAUGUUUUUAUGCGUUCUGGUACAAAUGAAGCACUGAACACAGGUAGUCUAGAGUCCAGCUAACCACCCUAUACUAAACUAUCCUCACAAACAUCUCUCUAUAUGGCCAGCCAGCCAUAUAUCAUGGCUAUAUGAUGAAGUUAUUAUUUAAGAGCAUUGAAGAUGAAUCACAAUCAGUAAAAAAAGUAUUGAGCUAGCUAACUAGCAGAUUUACAUCGAUCAUCAAUAUCAACGAGCAGCUGAUAGCCUACCCUCUUUUCCUGAUGUCAAUCAUGUCUAUAGGAGUCACUGUAACUAGCUUGCUUAACAUUUGUGAUGAGUGAGUGUGUUGUUGCAGAAAUAAAUAGGCAUAUGCUAAAACAUUUAAAACUCUAUAUUAAAAUGGGUGCCGAGCACUGGGAUUGAACCCAACAUCCUCUGAGCCGUAGAUCUGUAACGAGGCCCGCUAGCUGGUAAUAGGUGCUUGCGUUGCCCCUAGUAGACGAUAGUAAAUUGCUACGGAAGUCAAAUAAACCAGGAUGCCAUAUUUUGACCAUUUCAAAUAUGCAUAAUUAUGUCAUCCACUAGAGUCUGGCCUGCUCUACUUCACACUACCUGCUCAACCUAGAGCUGAGCAUGGAAACCUAGAGCUGAACAUGGAAACCUAGAGCUGAACAUGGAAACCUAGAGCUGAACAUGGAAACCUAGAGCUGAACAUGGAAACCUAGAGCUGAACAUGAAAACCUAGAGCUGAACAUGGAAACCUAGAGCUGAACAUGGAAACCUAGAGCUGAACAUGGAAACCUAGAGCUGAACAUGGAAACCUAGAGCUGAACAUGGAAACCUAGAGCUGAACAUGGAAACCUAGAGCUGAACAUGGAAAUCAUUACAGGCUGGAUAGAGCAGACCUGCGUAAAGUAGAUGUUUCCAUCAGGUCUUG